rnacentral:rRNA from 1 species
AUUGAACGCUGGCGGCAGGCCUAACACAUGCAAGUCGAACGAGUGGCGGAAGGGUGAGUAAUGUCUGGGACACUGCCUGAUGGAGGGGGAUAACUCCUGGAACCGGUGGCUAAUCCCGCAUACCAUCGGAUGUACCCAUAUGUGCUUAGCUAGUAGGUGGGGUAAAGGCUCACCUAGGCGACGAUCCCUCGCUGGUCUGAGAGGAUGACCAGCCACACUGGAACUGAGACACGGCCCAGACUCCGACGGGAGGCAGCAGUGGGGAAUAUUGCACAAUGGGCGCAAGCCUGAUACAGCCAUGCCGCGUGUAUGAAGAAGGCCUUCGGGUUGUAAAGUACUUUCAGCGGGGAGGCGUUACCCGCAGAAGAAGCACCGGCUAACUCCGUGCCAGCAGCCGCGGUAAUUC